CAAAAACAUCUUUUCUUGUUAGUUUUUGAAGUAUGGCCUGCCCACUGACUUUGAGUUGAAGGGCCGCGGUAUUUUGACCGUGCAAAGGUAGCAUAAUCAUUAGUUCUUUAAUUGUGAUCUGGUAUGAAUGGCUUGACGAGACAUAAGCUGUCUUAGAGGUAUUAUUUAUUGAAUUUGGUUUUUGAGUUAAAAUUCUUAGAUGUUUUUAUGGGACGAGAAGACCCUAUAGAGUUUGACAUUUGUUUUGUUUAUUUUUAUAUAGUUUGUUUUUUUAUAUAAGCUGGAUUAAUGUUUUGUUGGGGUGAUGGGAGGAAUUUUUUUAACUCCUCUUUACUUUUAUAUAUUUAUUUAUAUUUGUUUGAUCCAUUUAUUUUGAUUAUAAAAUUAAAUUACCUU
rnacentral:rRNA from 1 species